rnacentral:lncRNA from 1 species
UCUUUCUUCCACUCCUCAUAGCUACUGCUUUCAUUUCUUCCUUAUGGAAUUCUGAUACUGUAAGCAAUACCAACUUACAGCACUUGUUUUAAUUUUUCCUGCACAGAUAUAUUUCAAUUGAUUAUGAUCGAGUUAUUUGCCUUUUCGAUUAUUUUGCAGUCUAAUUUUUCUGUUCACAAUAUCUCAAGAAAUAAAACGGUGAUUAUAGUAUCCCGAAAGCCACAAAACCGGCCACCAAAAAGAAUCACAACCCCACUCAAUUGUGUCAAAAACCAAACCCAAACUUGCCCAACAAAUUACCCCAAAACAUCUCAAACACAAGAAUCAAUUUCAGAUUACUCAAUACCACCCACAUCCACAUGCCCAGAUUACUUUCGGUGGAUCCACGAAGAUCUAAGCCCCUGGAAAGUCACAGGAAUCACAAGGGACAUGUUAGAAAGAGCCAAUCAAACGGCUCAUUUUCGUCUAAUACUCGUCAACAACAAAGUAUAUAUCCACAAGUACAAACAAUCAAUACAAACUAGAGACGUUUUCACCAUAUGGGGCAUCUUGCAACUCCUUAGAAAGUAUCCCGGAAGAUUACCGGACUUGGAGCUUAUGUUUGACUGCGAUGACCGCCCCGUCAUCCGAUCACGCGACUACAGCGGGCCAAACAACAAGGGCCCACCUCCGUUGUUUCGGUACAGUGGUGACAGGUGGACGAUGGAUAUAGUGUUUCCUGAUUGGUCCUUCUGGGGAUGGUAAUGACUUCUUCUUCUUCUUCUUCAUCUUUUUGUUGCUCUCUCUUUUGAUUGCUGGUUGCGUGUUGCGUGUGUUUUUGUUUUCGCAUGGAAAUUGUAGAAUGCAUGCAUGUGAGGGACUUAAAUCGACUUGGACUCUAGCUACCAUCGUAGGCCACGUAGGGUAGAAGCAUACUGUAAUUCAUUUUGUUUUCUGAUAAUCAAGGGGUCCUACGCUAAUGACAUGCGACCAAACACAGAUUAUUUAACCUGAAUAGCUAAUGCCCCGAGACGGCAAGACAUAGUUUUUUUUUUUUUUUUUUUUAACUUUAUCGUAAUAAUAAAUAAAUAUAAAUUUUUAAUAUAACAUAAUAUAAUAUAAUAUAAUAUUGAUUUCUAUUUUGUUUUAUUUUUAAUUAUAAUUGUUAAUAUAAAUUAAUGAACUAAUAAUUUAUUAUUCAAAAAUAUUAUAUUAUAUUUCUUAUUCUAUUAAAAAUAUAACAAAAUAAUGUAUUAUUUAUAUAUUAUAACAAUUAAUAUAUAAAAUUUGAUUAUUAUUUAAUAAGUUCAAUAUUACUAAUAAUAAAUACUUAAAUAAUAUAUAAAAAUGACAUAAUAUUACAUUAUUUAAAUAUAUUACAACAAUUGAUAUAUAAGAAUUGAUUAUUAUUUAACAAUUUAAUAUAACUAAUAAUAAAUACUUAAAUAUUAAUAAAUUUGAAUACUAUUAAUUUAAAAUUAAUAGUAAUAUAAAUAAUGAAAUAAAAUAUUCGUACAUAUAGUACAAUUCGUAAUAUAAUAUAAUAUAGUGUGCCAAAUGCACCCAAGUUAUAAAUUAUAUUAUAUUUUUUACCUUAUUUUUUUCCUUACUUUUACAAUAUAUAAUAUCUUUACAAUAAUUUUGGAGAUAUUAAUGAAAUGAAUAAAAGAAAACUAACCAAUCUUUUAUUUUAUUUUAUAACGAAACAAGUAUAUGAUUAAAAGAUUUGAUUGUGGGUAGGGAUGGCAAUGGGGAGGGGAGGGACCAAUCUCCCCGUACCAAUCCCCGAUAUUUUGCUUAUAUCCCCGUCCCCGUUAGAAUUACUUGAGAGAAUCCUCAUCCCCUCCCCGAAUAAUAACAGGGGAUCCCCAAGGGUCCCCGAUCCCCGAAUAACUAAUACAUUUUUUAUUUUCGAUUUUGAGUUAAUCAUAUUAAAAUAAAAAAUUCAAAUAAAAGUAAAGUUUGAAAUAUAUCUUACAUUAAUAUCCAUUACAAAAGUCACAUACAUUAAAUUAGUAAGUAACGCAUCAUGUAAGAGAUACAAGCUUCUUUUACAAACUAUCGUGAAUAAAUUAAUAGUCUAAUACAAAAUUGUUACAAAUAAAAUCGAAUUUAGAUUCAAAAUUAACUUUUUCAAUGGUGGCGUGGACACUUUAUAAAUGUGGACUAUUCCCUUUAUAGCACAAUAGUUAAGUCGGAGCAAAUCAAGAGCAAAUAUUAGAUUAGAUUAAAUUAAAUUAAAUUAGAUAUUAAAAUUGUGAUUCGCUGUGGUCAAUUACAACAUCUAAAAAUAAAUAAAAAAUAUAUUUAAGUUUAAAACAUUUAAUGAAUAUUAAAAUUAAAACAAAAUUUUUGGGCUAAUAGAAUUUACCCGGUUUUUUUAAUGUCCUAAAUAAAAAUUUAGGACUUUAAUUAGUUAAUUAAGUCUAAAAGUUUAAUAAUAUAAAUAUUUUGAUAUUUUUUAUUUUUAACAAUAUUUAUAAUUUUAUAAUUCAAAUGUUAUUAUUUAUUUACUAGUAAUUUUAAAAAAUAAAAUUAAAAUUAAAAUAGGGAAAUGGGUAGGGGAUGGGGAUUCCACAUCAUUCCCGUCCCCUCCCCGAAUAAUAAAUUGGGUAAAAAUAUUUCUCCGUCCCUUCCUCGAAUAAGAAAUUGGGUAUGAAAUUAUCCCCAUAUCCUCCACGAAUGAGAAAAAUCCCCGAGGGUAUCCGUCCCCGUAGAGAUUUUUGCCAUCCCUAAUUGUGGGUUCUUCUCCACUGAUGUCUGAAAUUGUGCAAGUACGUACAUAUGAUUGUCAGUCGGCUAGUUUUACAUUAAUUUUCAUCUAGCAAUGUUAUUACUUUGGGUCAUUGGGUGUCAGAUUUGAAAUUUAUGUUAGAAUGCGCCUGUGGAUCGAAUUAAACAAGUGUGUGACUAGCAAGUUCAUAAUAUAUAUAUAAAGAUGGAUGGAAAGGGUGUGACUGGCAACUUAUUCAUUUUGGCAGGGCUGAGAUAAAUAUAAAACCAUGGGAGAGUUUGUUGAGGGAGCUAAAAGAAGGCAACAAUGGGAGGAAUUGGGUGGACAGGGAACCCUAUGCCUACUGGAAAGGGAACCCUUUUGUAGCUGAAACAAGAAGAGACCUACUCACUUGUAAUCUAUCAGAUAAACACGACUGGAAUGCUCGACUCUAUGCCCAAGUAAUUUUAUUUUUAUAUUACUACUCAUUUUUGUUCUAAGAUUCCUGGUUUUAAUUUCUUUUUAAUCUUUUUCAAAAUGCUGGGCAUGGACAGAAUUUAAAUUAAUUUUUAGCCCCUUAAUUACAGUCCCUAAUAUUUAAACUUGACUUGCUAGCCAAAUAAAGCUGCUUAAAACCAAUUAAUUCGAUCAAACCUUUGAUUAUAUUUAUUUAUUGCGCAUAUAUAUGUUUAUUAAUUAACUUUUGCAGGAUUGGAUCCUUGAAUCUAAGCAAGGUUUUCAACAAUCAAAUCUGGCGAGCCAAUGCGCCCACAGGUAUAUCUAGUCGCCGACUAACUGAUGGGUACGUUCAUCAAGUCAACUUUCAACAUUGACUUUUCUUGUUCACUACUUAUUCAUUAGGUACAAAAUCUACAUCGAAGGAUAUGCAUGGUCAGUUAGUGAGAAGUACAUUCUAGCAUGUGACUCUACGACACUCAUUGUAAAGCCCUAUUUCCACGAUUUCUUCAUAAGAUAUUUACAACCUCUGCGACACUACUGGCCGAUAAGAGAUCAAGAUAAGUGCAAAUCUAUUAAGUUUGCUGUAGACUGGGGUAACACCCACAAGCAAAAGGUAAUUAGCUUCGUUGAUUAUAUUAUACUGAUGUAAUAUUUUGUUAAGUAAUGUGAUACGCAUGUAAAUGGACUUUAUUAGCAGGCACAGGAAAUUGGGAGAGCGGCGAGCAACUUCAUUCAAGAAGAACUGAAAAUGGAAUACGUGUAUGAUUACAUGUUUCAUUUGUUAAACGAGUAUGCUAAGCUUUUGAAAUUCAAGCCAGUGGCACCUGAUGGAGCUGUGGAGGUAUGCUCAGAGACUAUGGCUUGUACCGCAAAUGGGUCGCAUAAAAAGUUCAUGAUGGAGUCAUUAGUCAAAGGUCCUUCUAUUACAAGCCCAUGCACAUUGCCUCCUCCGUAUGAACCCAAAGUUCUUGGUGCUUUCUAUCGGAGAAAACUUAAUGCAAUUCUACAAGUGCAGAAAUGGGAGGAUAGAUACUGGGAAAGUUUGAAGAAGCAAUAGUGCGAAUAAUAUAUGCAUAUUAAUUACUUAGGUUAGGCUUUUAUUUAUUCAAUCAUUUGAUAAAGGGUCAAAUCCUACGACUCAGCAAGCCCAAUUUAAUUAAUUAAGAAGGCAUACAGCACUUAUGUUUUGCACCAAACUGUACUUAUCAUUAAAUCAAUUGCUAUGAGCCACGCAUGCAGCAUUUUGGACCACCGGAAAGAUGUGAAUGACUCAUCAUCAUCUCUUUGCCCACAAGUGCAUUAAUAACGAGCUUUAUCACUGACGAAUCACAGUAUUUGUCUGAAUUGGUCAUGUGGAUGAAAGGAAUUGGUUUCUUUUGGGCGACAGAACAAAUGAAUGAAAAUGAUGAUGAUCAAUCCAGUCUCCACCGUUGCUAAUAUUAAUAUGAUUAUGAUUUCAGUGCUGCACACAGGAGCACCUUGCGAAUACUGCUUAGUACUGUUACAUGCAUUCUUAUAAUUACGUGUAUCCAUAUAAAUAAGUAUUGAGAAAAAGCUCACAAUAUGAUGAUAUUUUGCACGCAGCUGUUUUAUUUUUAUUUGUAGACCAUCUGGUCUUCUAGUUAUUAGGUUUCCUUUUCAAGUGGGGAGAAAACUUACCAAUAGAUCUUUGGUCCAGUGGGAGAGUUCUUACACUUACAAUAUUGAAUGUAAGAGUUCAAGUUUCUAUAAAAGUAUUUAUGGGGGUUAUUUACAAUUUUUUCUUAAUUAUUUAAUAAUUGAGUGGAGCCAGUCUAUGUCUCACGAAAUAUGAGUGGAGUGGACAGUCCUCGAAUAUUUGAGAUAGUUUGAAGAAUUUGGGCAGAGUUUCAGAGGGGUACAUGCCAUAAAAAAUAUCCCAAUUGUAAAAUCUGUUUAUAAAUAUUAAUUAUAAUACCUACAAUCCUAUAUAACAGUAUUAAAAAAAAAAAAAGUGGGGAGGAAACUUUGUCCGUGGCCAUAGAUUUAUUGCAAUCGUACGAAUAAGUUUAUAUUUGUGUUUCCGUCCUUAAAGAUUGAGACUGAUGAUAACACACUAGGCCAUACCCCUUAAUUAACCUCACAUUAAUGCACACAGCAAAUAACCUAUACAAGCCGUUUGGACGACUUGUCAGGACGACCCAUUUUGGGAUAUACAAUUGGAAAUUAAUUACUUGAACUAGCUAUGGUGAAACUUAUAUAUAAAUGCCUAAUUAAAGCCUGAACCAUGAAUGGUUUUGAGAUAAGAAAUCUUUGUCAAGAUACUUGGGCGAUUAAUUAUGUGUUCAUCUUAAAUGUUGAACCAGCCUAACAUGCAAGAGACUCAACAGUCCACAUAGAAUGUUAGGUUGGCUUGGCUUCAACUCUUUGCUAGUUGUUGUGAAAAACCCAAAAAAAGCAAAAAAAGGGGAAAAAAAAAUACAAAUAAACUUUUUGUUAGUUGAGACGUUGAACGUUAAGUUCCUUUGCUAAUACUCGCAAUUAUUGACGGUCGGUGGUGUAAUCCACAAAUUAUGUUGAUAAAUAUAUGGAUUUGCAAAUACCUUGAUUAUAUGUAAUGCUUUUAAAAAUUAAUUAAUCGUAGCUUAAAUAUAUGACAUCAACGGAGACGUAAGCAAUACGGGGACCUAAAUUGUCAUGUUAGUUUCUGCCUCUAAUAGGAAGCUUUGGCAUUAAAGAAUCAAUUACAUCAACGUUAAGUUAAUUUAUCAAAUUAUAUUUGAUGAUUCUGGAUUCAUGUUGAUCGAACCUGCAACGUCAAAGCCACUUUAAUUAGUAAAGCCGGUUCCAAUAAAAUCAUUCAAAAUUUUGGAGGCAUUUACUUUUGAGAUGCUUCACCAAACCAUGAGAUUUUUCUUGCUCUUGAAUCCUCUUUGAUGACGAAUGUGACAGCUUAUCCACUCCCCAUAUCGUUAAUCAUGAAAUUAAUGAAAAGUAUAAAACCAAAUGAACAGACAUGAUUAAGAAUUUUAAUAAGCCUAGGGUGGGUUUUUUUAUGCUCAAUUUGGCUAAAUUAAAGAAAUAUUUAAAAAAAAACUAUUUUCAUCAUUUUGUUUAGAAAUCAAAGAUAAAUAAAUAAAUUGUAAAUUAAUGGCAUAAUAAUAAUAAUGAGAAAUGUCAAAAUAAAAAAUAUGAGAGUAUCACUAAAAAAACUCUUCUAAUUUAACUAUUUAAAUAUUUGUUUGCUUAAUUAUUUGACAAAUAGAAAAGUUAAAAAAAAAAGUCAUAUUUUAAAAGACUUUUCAAAUAAAAAUAAAUUUAUGUUUUUUUAGCCAAAAUUUUUUCUCCACAAAAAUAAUAACAAUUACAACACAUUUCUCCCUUUAAGAAUAAGAAGAUAAAAAAUAAUAUAACAAUAAGAGACUCUCUAAAUGAGAUUUUUCAUAUGACUAAAGAAGAAAGAAGGAUAACCUUAUUUAAAAAGUUUUUUAAAAUAUUUUUCACUUCAAAUAAUAAGUAAAGAAAUUUUGAGUGACGUUCUAGGGAGAAUUUUUUUUUUAAAAAGGUUAUGAGAAUUUAAUCAAUUUAUUGUUUAGUAUUAAUCAAAGACAAAGUGGGUCCAGAUCAAAGUCGUCACGUGGAGAGUGUUCAAGGCCAAUGUGAGGAAGACAAAGGGCGCUCUCUCACAAAAGGGACCGAAAACUGUCUCACACGGCUCCACCAACUUCUCUUCUUUUGUUUGACUUUUUCAUUGGUCCAAUUAGUUUGUGACACCUGUAAAGACUCAUAGAAACCGAGCCUCUUCGAGUCACAGCAGAAUAUAGAAUUAGAAAAUGACGUGGCUCACGCUCCAGCUCCCUUUAAAAAUACUCAAAAGUGUAUUUGCUUGGAAGCAUAGUCAGGAAGCAACCUUCAUGCUUAAACAAUCUUUCAUGUCUUGUGUCACCUCCCAAACUCAAAUAUACAAAAACAUUAAAACCAAAAAGGCAACCUCAUAAUCAUAAUAAUAAUAAUAAUAUCACAAUACCUACAUUAAAUAACACUUGUGACAACCAACAAAGUGUUGGCUCCACUGGUAAUGGAGUCCCCUUAAGUGGCUUGACUGGGUUUGCUCCCCAAUUCGAGUCGCAGGGAAGUCGCCUUUGUUGAGAGAAUCUGUGUCUCCCGGUUCGAGCGGGGACUUCUAGUCUGAGUUGUGGUACGGGCUUAAAAGUGCCUCCCACAGUUGGAGCCCUCCCCAGGAUAUCUCGUGAUUAAUAUCAAAAAAAAAAAAAAAAUAACACUUGUGACAUUCAACAAGUUGUCUCUUUAAUCAUAUGCAUUUAUAUUAAUAUUAUAUUCCAUACCUUACCUAAGAUUGAAAGACUAUGCUCAUUUUUUUUUGUUAGAUAUUAAUAUCCAAAAUGCACUCACUUUGAUUAUUAAUUUAAUGUUUAAAGAUAUGCAUUUAGAUGCAUCACAUGCUACUAACAAACUGAUGUUCAUGGGUAACAACUGUAAACGUUGAACUUGAGAGGGAGAAAAUUUGUUUACGAGCUUUAUUCAAAAGAAGUGUGCUUUUGCUCUCAAAAGCCACUAAACGACAUAGUAAAAGCAUUCAAAUUUCAAACGGUCGUGGCCUUCGCUUGCUCUUUGGUACAAAGAAAAUCGAGUGAAUUAAAAUUUGAUGGGGACGGACAAAUUGGCCAGCGACCCUUGAUUUUAGCCACUUAAUGACAGCUGUUAAUCUAAUUGCACUGGCUUAAUAAAAGUAAAACGGGGGCCGAUUAUAUCGCGAUAUUUUAACGAUUCAUAGAAAUCAUUGAUUAAAAUUAGGUUACGGCAAUGUCACGUGGUAACCGGCGCAAAUACCGGAACGGCGAUUGGCCCGAUCCCGGCUCCCUAAUACGGCUGCUAACGUAAAAUAAAAUUGUUUCUCUUAUUACGAAUGUUCUAAAUUCAUCUUUUUUUUUACUGUUACAAGAGUUUUUCAUUGGCCAAAUAAUCCGACAUUCUUAAAUAUAAAUAUAAUUGUUGUUUAUCAUAUCUACAAUUACUUUUUUUUUUAUAAUAGACAAUAAUUUUAAUAUAUCAUUUUUGUGUUUUUUUUUAUAAGUCACCCAUUUAAAAAGAAAAAGAUACAAGAUGUUGUUUAAAAUCAUUUCACAUGGAUAUAUUUUUAUUUAUUCAUAAUAUACGAUAAUCAUAUAAAGCUUUUAAAAAAAUAACCGUGUAAAUUUAACAUUAAUGAUUCAUUGAUAAUGAACAUAAUCAUAGAAUGGUUCAAAAUAAUUUAAUUGCUCUUAAAUAUGUUGAACUCUUAUUUCAUCAUAAUUUGAAUUAAAAAUUUUGUUAUUUAAUAACUAAAAUGUAUAUAUAUUUGUUUCUUCGUUUAAUUUGAUGGAUCAUGGAUCCAUAUUGCUAAUGUGAGAUAAAAAUUUUCUCAUAAUUUAAAUUUUUAUGAGUUUUUAAAUAAUAAUAUAUGAAUAAGAUUUAAAUUUUUUAUUUUUUUAUUUAUUAACUACUAAUUACUUAUAUAUAUUUACACGAAAUUAAAUGAUAAAGAGAAUCCUAUUCCCCUGUUGGCACGGACUCUCACAUUAUCAUAACACCCGAGAUCUGGUUUUCUCGUCUCACGAGAUUGACGUUAUUGAAAAAAAAAAAAAAAAAGCACCAGCCAUACUGUUAAUGCAAUCAUUAGCAGAGAAAAAAAAUCUAAUAGAAGCAUGUGUAGAGCUCCAAAAGCAUAAUCCUCCCAAAACCGCCCUACCAUUUUAACUCAAAAUUACAGAUAGCAGAUCAACAACACUCUUUGCAUUUUCCAUUUUGUAGUUCAAUUAUCCAUUAUUUGAUUUUUCUGUUCUACAUUUUUUUUUUUUUUACCUGGAACAAGAAGAUCUUUAUCUUCUUUAGCUAGUAACAAAAACCUCUCUUUGAAUCCAAGUUUCUCUCACAUCUCCUUUUGUCUUUUAACUUGACAUAUCUGUCUUGAGUUUACUCUUUCAACGGAUUUGCUUUCAUGGGUAGUUGCAAAAUCUUUGAUUUAAACUCACAAAAACUGUACUAAAAACUUUAUCUGGUUCUUGUUAACAAGGGCGGAUUUGUAGUACAUUAUUGAACUUUAAGUCAGUUUUAGAGUUUUAGUGUACUUACAUUUGUCUUCAUAAACACUAGUAUCCAAGUCAUUUGAUUUUUCUUUUUCUUUUUCCUCUUUUGAAGUUUCGUUAAUGAGUUCUUGUUUUGAGUCUUGUGGUUUCUAGAAGACUAUUGGGUGGUAAAAGAUAGAAUCUUGAACUGAAAAUGAGAUCAUACUCGUCACUUGAGCUUCUGUUUGUUCUCUCUGGAGUUCUUUUUGCAACCUGCAAUGCCUUUGCUACAAAUGAAUGUAAUGUUUCGUUUGUUUACUUUUUGUCUUGCCUCAGAUCUCGAAUCUUUUGAUUGUGUUAAUUGUUCUCUUUUUCCAACAUUUUCUUAGUGACCAAAUAGUCUAUUAGCGCUGUUGAGGUCAUGUGAUCGUAAUUUUACUAAAUGGGAGUUGUGUAUUUUCCUCAGUUUGGGCUCUUACAACAUUCAAGGAAGCAAUAUAUGAAGACCCCCAUCUGGUUUUGUCCAACUGGAAUGCCCUUGAUGCAGAUCCUUGUCAUUGGACUGGCAUUGCUUGUUCUGAUGCUAGAGACCGUGUUCUAAAGAUGUAAGAGAUGAUUUGUUACUCAGUUGUAUUGUGGUACUUCUUUGACUGGAUUUCCAUAGAUAUGCAUAGUUUGGUUAAAUACAUGUUUGGGAGAAUCAUGCCUCACCGAUUUGUAUGAGGAUUUUGUUUUGUAGAAACAUCUCUGGAUCAUCUUUAAAGGGAUUUCUUGCGCCAGAGUUGGGUCUGCUGACGUACUUGCAGGAGCUGUAAGCUCUUAUUUAUUUUUGUCUUUUCCUACCGGCUGAAGUAUUAUACUUUUUUACGGUGAUUGAGGUUUAAUAUCACACGUUCUUGUCUUGUAGAAUUCUGCAUGGGAACAAUUUGAUUGGGAUAAUACCUAAAGAAUUGGGCUUGUUGAAACGUCUGAAGAUCUUGGAUUUGGGGACGAACCAAUUAACAGGUCCAAUUCCUCCAGAGAUUGGGAACUUGACUGGUUUGGUGAAAAUGUAAAUGAAAUUUAUUGUUUGUUCCCAAAGAACUGGAUUUUAUGCUUCGCACUCCUUGAAUAUUUUAACCGGUCAACGUACCUAUGUUGCAGAAACCUUCAGUCUAAUGGGUUGACUGGGAGACUGCCUGCCGAGCUCGGUAAUUUGAUUUCUCUUGAGGAACUUCAUCUAGAUAGAAAUAGGCUUCAAGGCGCUGUUCCUGCUGGCAGCAAUUCCGGCUACACAGCUAACAUUCACGGAAUGUAAGUAGAUGAUUCUUGCUUUCGAGGUAGUUAAUUUGGUUCUGAUAGACUGAUCAAGGCAAAGCAUGAGCAUUAUUGGCUUUUCAAACUCUUUAGAUGUCCUUGUGUAGCAUAUUUGUGGGCAGAAUCAUGCCAUAUUUGACAAUCUGAAAUUAAUUUCAAAAAUGGGAAAGGUAGCCAAGUAUAUAAUUCCAUGUUAAUUAUUUUCCUGGACUUAGUUAACUAGUGAGACGCUAUUAGCUUCCUUUUCUUUUUUACUUCCUCAGUGUUCCAUAUUUUGGCAGGAUUAUAAGGAUAUUGAUAAUUUUUAUUCAUAAAUGAUAGCUUUACUUGUUGAAUACUGUCAAUGUACCGUCCUAGUAUGUGUAAUACUUUUGUGGCUCAUCCUUAUUUGGAAAAUUACGUCAUUCUAAGCCUUAUUUGAUGGUUUUAGUUUCCUAAUAAAUUUUCUUGAAAUUUAUUUCUGGUGCAGGUAUGCCUCAAGUGCAAACCUAACUGGCUUGUGUCACUUGUCUCAGUUAAAAGUUGCAGAUUUCUCGUACAACUUCUUUGUUGGAAGCAUACCUAAGUGCUUGGAGUAUCUUCCAAGGUACCUGCACCUUUGUGAUGGGGCUUUCUGUUUUUUUUUUUUUUUUCCUGUUAGCUUAUUUUUGGUCUACUUAUAUCUUGUAGUACAAGCUUUCAGGGGAACUGUCUACGGAACAAAGAUCCCAAACAACGUGCAACUACUUUAUGUGGUAUGCUAGGCUUCAUUUCACAUUUGGGCUUAGUUGAGAUGGAAUUUAAGAUGUCCUACUCUGCAGAUAAAAAUGCUGAUUUCACUUCUGUAAUGGAAUAUAUUUUAAAUUUUAUGUAUUUAAUUUGAAAUACAGUCACCUAGUUGUCUAGUUGAAGUCUCCAAUACUUUUCUUUUCGAUAUGGCUUAACCAUUCAAUACCAAUUAACAAAAUCCCUCUUCUAGGUGGUGCUCCUCCUGCCAGAACCCGUGCUGGAUUAAGCCCUAAGCACCAAGCAGCUGAAGAUGUGUCCAAGCACCAGUCUGCAUCAAGACCUGCCUGGCUUUUAACUCUUGAAAUAGUGACUGGAACCAUGGUGGGUGUUCUCUUUCUCGUUGCUGGUUUCACUGGACUCCAGAGAUGCAAGAGCAAACCUUCCAUAAUAAUCCCUUGGAAGAAAUCGGCUAGUGAGAAGGAUCACAUAUAUAUAGGUUAGGCACCUUACUUGGCAAUUAAUAUGUCUGCUUCAGUGCUACUUCAGUAGUUUAUUGCUCAAGCAAAAAAAUUGGUUAAAAUGGUGGGAUUGUUGUACAGAUUCUGAGAUCUUGAAAGAUGUGGUGAGAUUCAGCAGACAAGAGCUGGAAGUAGCCUGUGAAGACUUCAGCAACAUCAUUGGCUCUUCACCAGACAGUUUGGUCUACAAGGGCACCAUGAAGGGUGGGCCUGAGAUUGCUGUAAUAUCCCUCUGCAUUAAAGAAGAGCAUUGGACAGGCUAUCUUGAGCUCUAUUUCCAGAGAGAGGUAAUUACUCAUCCUUAACUGCAGGAAAUUUUAAUGUAAAGCCUCCAUGAGGGAGUACCAAACACCUAGCAAAAGUUAUAAACUUGGAACAAUCAAGCUUUCGGUUGUAUGGACUUUCAGGUGGCAGACUUGGCAAGAAUAAAUCACGAGAAUACAGGAAAGCUGCUAGGCUAUUGCAGAGAGAGCUCCCCAUUUACAAGAAUGUUGGUUUUCGAUUAUGCAUCAAAUGGAACUCUAUAUGAGCAUCUCCAUUGUAAGUCAAGUUCCUUAUACAUAAUUGGAUUGUCUAUGAUGCUUCCUUAGAUUAAACCUCAGCAACCAAUGUGGCUGCAGAUGGUGAACGAUGCCAAGUAUCUUGGACACGGCGUAUGAAAAUUGUAAUAGGUAUUGCACAUGGACUCAAGUAUCUCCAUACAGAACUUGACCCUCCUUUUACUAUAUCAGAGUUGAAUUCUAGUGCUGUAUAUCUUACUGAAGACUUUUCUCCCAAGGUAUCCCCGCUGUGUUUAUCUUUUCUGUUAGUUUCAAGUAUAAUAUGCUAGUAUUUUCUACAUAAUUGAAUGAAUGUUUUAGCUGAAGUCACUUUUGGCUUGUUCAUUACAAAAGAAUCUACCAAAUGCUAGAAACAACAUUUCCUUAAUUAUAUAAACAUUGUUUUUAAGAACAUCUUUUGACUUCUGCUGCAGCUGGUUGAUUUUGAAAGUUGGAAGACAAUUCUUGCAAGAUCGGAGAAGAACCCUGGCACUCUUGGCAGCCAAGGUGCUAUCUGCAUACUUCCAAGUUCUCUUGAGGCACGGCAUUUGGAUGUCCAAGGCAACAUUUAUGCAUUUGGUGUGCUUCUGCUGGAAAUAAUCAGUGGGAGACCUCCACGCUGCAAGGACAAAGGGAACUUGGUAGAUUGGGUAUAAUUCAUGAAGCUUCUGAACUUGAAUAUUGUUUCUAUUCAUUCUCUAAUUAUUACUUGAGUUGAAGCUAACACCAAAAACUUCUAAUAUUUGGCAGGCUAAGGAUUAUCUUGAAUUGCCAGAAGUAAUGUCAUAUGUGGUGGAUCCUGAGUUGAAACAUUUUAGUUACAAUGACCUCAAAGUUAUCUGCGAAGUGGUGAACUUGUGCGUCAAUCCAGACAUCACCAAGCGACCAUCCAUGCAGGAAUUGUGCACAAUGUUGGUGGGCAGAAUUGACACUUCCAUAUCAGUUGAGCUUAAGGCAUCAUCUUUGGCAUGGGCUGAGCUUGCACUUUCAUCAUGAUUGAAUUGAUGCUAACACACCGUAGAUUAGAUAUAUACGAUUGUAUUACUCUAUUCCUUUUUCUACCUGCGAUUUCUCGUCGUCCUUGUAAAUGUUGCUGAAAGAAACAUAGAGCUUCGUGUGUGACAAAGUCUACUCACUGUAUACCAUUUGGAUAAUCAGUAAGAAAAGUUCUGAAAUCACAAUAUAGUAAAAAAGGAAGCCCCUAUGUUACAAUUAAUGUAACAAACACACUCAACAACAACUACACAAAUGAUGGGCCCACACAAUUUGUUCUUGCUCAAGGGCAUUAACUUGGUCGCUCUGGUUAUAUAUUUUCUCUAAUCUUUUUAUUUUGUACAGUUCACCGACUUGUGAAUUCUCUCUAAUGCAAGACAGCAUUCACGAUGAUGGGUUGGUCAGAAUUUUCCUUCCACAACCCGGAAUGGUGAGGCUGCUUUGAUUGUGCUUAUGCUAAAUUAACGAAAAAUAAGCUUAUUUUAGGAUAAGGUAAUCACGAAUAAUUAUACCACUUUUUGUAAAAAAAAGGCUGGGAGGACAUUCUGCCUGAUGGGACAAACAUGUGAUCCUCUGAUACAAUUUUAAGCCGAAAAUUGGAGUUAUGUAGAUUGAGAUUCCGGCCUUCAAAUAACAAUUGCUCUGAUGAUUCCUGGGCUAGCUACAAUACAAGCACUUUCUUCCAUUGGUUUGUUUUACCAUCAUAACAGUACUAUCACAUAGUAACCAAAUCAAAAUUGUACUAUGCUGGCAGAAAAUUUAUAUAUAUGGCUGACCUUUAGAUCUCAGUUCAACAACUCUUGAUGAAUCAAGAAGUGCUAAGUACUGAAAAUGUAACUAUUAGAUAAACGCAUUUUAUCCCUGAAAAUGAAAAACAAAACUGAAGUAGAAGAAACUAAUGUUUAGGAUGGGAGUAAUGAUUGUCAUUUGGAUUCCUCCUCCCGCUGAAAACUGCCAAUGCCUUUCUUAUGGGAGGCUGCAGAGGAGCUCUUUUAUCAGUAUGAUGUUUGAAUAUAUCAUCAGAAGUGACGAAGUUGUCUCCCUGGAUAAUGAGUACAAAUCAGCAUCACACUAAAUUUAACACAAACUAGCAUUUACAAAAUUCAAAAUUCAGGUACAACAAAACCAGAGGUGCUCAAACUGAAGGUAACUAGAACAAGGAAAAACCACUAACCUCCUUAUUUACUUUCUUCUUGUUUUUAGGAUAAAGGUACUUUUGUGGAAGUUGAUCUUCACGUAAAAUUAGAUUCUUUGUAAUGGCAUCCCUUCCACCUUGGGGCAUAGGUAGUGAAAACUGUAAACAGCCAAAUGUCAAGCCACACAGUGGAUAAAAGCUUGCAAAAAUGCUCCAGCAAAAAGUAUCAAACUGUACAAUGGUUUCAAGGAUUUUGAUAAGAAUGUCCAAUUAACAAGGUCUCACAGGAACAUUAAAUUUGACAAACAAUGUAAAUGAAGCUUACGGACAAUAACUCAACACACAACCAAGUUACAGUUGAGAGUCUCGAGAAAGAGUUUACAGCUUAUCCCCUAUAAAGAUAUACUUACUUUUGUUCCACGCAGCGUAAUGCGAGGCCGACGAGAUGCUAAUACAAUUCCAUUUUCAGCGACUGUAACAGCUACCUUGCGUAAAGUGCCACCAUUUCCACACUUUGGGCAGAAAAUCCUCCCAAUUUCAGCAGUGAUAGUGUAGCAGGCAUGGCAUUUCAGUAUCCACCUGGGUAUACAGACAUAUCAAGAUAAGCAUAAACACCAUUGAGAUACUUAUUUCAUGAUUAGACAUUAUACGAAUCACCCAGGGGAAUGGUGAAGAAAAAAGAUUUAAACAUUUGUCAACUAUAUACCUAUGUAGCUGGCGGAUCUGCAUUCCUCCGGGUGCCAAUAAGCGUAAACCCAUCUGCAGAAUAACAUUUUGCAUUGCAUAGUCACCAGUUAUACAGGCAACAGUGGACUCAGACAAGGAUCUCAACAUCCAACUCUGUUCACUGCAUUCAUCAUCCACGUAUGAUACAUCAACACUUUCAUUGUUCUUGCUUGAGAUCUCCAUUUGAUCUACAUUUUCAUUGGUGGUAUCAACUUCACCUCCUUCAACAGUUGAAUUUCCAUUGACAUCAGAAGUUGCUUCCACCACGGGGGAAAUAUCAGAAUCAUGAGUAGUAGAACAAAUGUCAACUUCAUUGCCUUCCGGGAGAGCCUUCAAUGAAUCUUCUUCAAGCCUCAUUUGGUUUAAUAUUGAGGAAAGUUCUUCACUGCCGCUCUUCUCUGUUUUCUCACUCUCCUCAGAAAUCCCAUUUGUAUCACGAGCUUCUUCAGAGCCCAGAUGCAACUGCUGCUCUAGGUUACCAGAUUCAUCAACAUUGUUGCUAUCAUCACCCAUCUCCUUCUCUUGCUGACUAUCUUUGUCAGUUAAUGAGUCGUAAUAUUCACGCCUUGCUUUUCUUCUAACAUACCUUCUAUGAGUACUUCGGCUGACAGCAGGCAUCCAAUCAGCAGCAUCAUCUUCAACUUGCCCUUGAGAAGCAUCAAUUCCAGCAGCCACCAUCUUCUUCCCUUCAAUAUUCACCUCAAUCUUCUUUGGCAAAUAUCUCCUAGGUCUCCUCAAUCCAUGUUCACCAUCCUCUUGAUUUUCAGAGUUACCCCCACCUUGAGACUCCACAGACCCAUUUUCAGAAUGGUAAUCCCCAGCAAUGACAUUCAGAUUCAGGUCUCUCAAGGGAAGGAUUCUUGAAUUGGUGUUUAACUUAUCCGCAUUGUCAUUAUCUAACGCUUCCCACUCUUCUAAAUUGGCAACGUUAGACCCCCAACCAGGCAAAUCCUUCUCCGGUAAUCUCUUCACAUUCACUGUAUGAAGAGGAGGAGGUGCAUCCCUGAGGUGCUUAGUCCCAUGCAUCUGAGUCUCCAGUGUGCAAGUCAAUGCAAUAAGCUUAAGAUCAACAUCCGAAAGAGUCUGUAAAUCACCCGUUGCCCUCGCAAACUUUAUAACUGCAAGCCGCAACGAAGCACUUUUUAAUACAUUGAACAAAACAAAUUAAAAAAAAAUGAAUUAAUUACAUUUUUUUUAAUUUCUCUAACUAAGCACUAAUGGUGCAAUCUCAGAUUUUUUUUUUUAAAUAUCUAACCAAAUUGUUAUGCAACAAUAAAAUAAAAAAAAUGAAUAAAUGGAUAUUUGCCUUUAUUGAGGCAAUCAGGAGAAGGCUCCAUGGAAUCGAUAGAGAACGGGGUGAAGUUGAGGCGGUUGCGGGAAACGGGAUCGCGAAUUUCAGCUAAAACCUCCGGUACGGUAACGAACUUAUCGGCGAAGUUGGUGAGAUUGUGAGCUCCUUGGAUUAUUGCAUUGGCGUCGACCACAGCAACCGCUAUUCCCUCUGUAAAGUUGCAGCUCUGAGCUAAGAUUUCGGCGGCUGGCACCGUUUUGGUCUGCGUCGCGGCGCUUUGCGGCGGUUGUGUUUUGACUAUGUUGCUCCAGCAUGAGCUGGAGUUUGGGGUCGAAUCCAUACCUAGGGUUUCCGAGGGGGCGAGAGAGCGAAGAACGUAAGAGAUGAUGUUCUUAAAACCCUAGUUUGAGUUUUUGAGGGAGUGGGGGAGGAGAAACAGGUGUUACGAUGUCGUUUCUACUUCUUUUUAAGGAAGACAAAUAAAACGACAAGUAAAAUGAUGCUGUUUUAACUUGUAUUAUUGUCCGUAGUCAUGUCGUUCUUUUAUUUCCUCUUUGUAAGCUAUGUCGUUCAUUUUGGUUCGAUGGCCCAAUUUUCUUAUGGCCCAUAAUCAACAAAACCACGAAUACAGUUAUCAACGUACGUUGCAAUAUUCUAUUAUUAUUGUUAGCGACUCGGUUCAGAUAAGAUCGCCGGGUUUUUAUUUUUUAUUUUAUUUAUUUAUUCAGUAUUUCAGUUUUCAUUUGUUAAUUUCUCAAGGAAUUGAAUUCAAAAGAUUGGAGGCGUUUGUGCUCAUUUUGCAAGUAUUUUAAAAUAAUUAAGGAAAAUCAGUGUACAAGAAAAUGGAAGUAAAUCAGUAAUAAUUGAAAAUUGAUUUUUGUUAGAUGAAUUUGUAUUUUGUGAGCCUUCUUUCUUGAGAGCUCACAAGAAUGUAUUUCAAAUAGCGUGCUUCCUUUAUGUGGCCAUUAAAAUAAUAAAUAAAUAAAAAAUGUACAAAAUCACCACUCAUACAUGGCAUUUUGUUUGGGGAUUUUUUUUUUUUUUUUUUUGGGUUUAUCACAGAAUAUGAUUGAUCAUCUUUCACCGGCCGGAAUGGACACCCUGCUGAUGAUUUUAAAGAUUGAACUUCUAUGUAACUGUUAAUCAUGAACCAUAUAUUACAAGAGAGAAAGAGAGCUGACAGCCCAAGUUAAAAGCAAUGGCUAGCUACUUAAAGAAAGAGGAUAAAUAAUCCCUACCGAGGACUGAUCGAGUAGUGAACAAUAAUCAAUCUUCUAUUGAAAUUGGAAACCGAUCAUCGAUGGAUGGAGCCAUGCAUAGCUCUUUUACACGAAGCAAUUUUAAAAGCAAUAAAAGUUUCGAAGCUUUCAGAAGGAAUGCAUAACAAGAUUAAUGAUGGCAACGUACAAUUAAACAAAUAAAAUUGACAAAAGAAAAGAGAAAGGCCCCCAAAUUAGCUAGACACGAAAUUAAUGAAGAGAGAGAGAUGUGUGGCAAUUGGUUAUUAGAGUGCUCGUGAUUUAACAAUGUCCAAGCUCAUCUCGCUAGGAUCAGUAGCUUGCAACUCGACUUGAACCCCAUCCAAUUCUCUUCUGAACCUAUCUUUUGAACUAGCAUACAACAUUUUACUCCUGAUCCUUGAUGUAUCUGGAGACCUGGAACAAUCGGUAUUACUUAAUUAAAUUAACCCGUAUAAUAAAAUACUAAAAUUGGUUUAUUAUAAACGUACCAUGCAACGAAGAAAAUCUUGCUCUUUUGGCAAUUCUCAUCAGUGGUGAAAUCGAAAUCAUAGACGGCGUAGCGGCACUCAUCAGCUGGCAAACUGGCAGUGAAAUCCUCGUAGCUUUCAUUAGGUUCUCCCAGUUUCUCGACGGUCACCUGUUGAAUUUUUUCCUCUAUUUUGAACACAAUGAAUCGGUAACUCCGCUUUGCUUUUAGUUCCAAGAACUUCAGCUUACAGUCAUCAUGCACAGCCAUCCCCGAUGAGGAAUUUGCCUGCAUGUCCCCAUAAUAUCCCGACCCACACGCACACACAUAUAUAUAUAAAACACAAAAAUAAUUAAUUAUAUUUAAUUUGUCAAGAUAUACAUAUAAUGAAACCUAGCUAAUUUAACCCAUUUCAUCAAUAUAGUUAAUUAAUUGUUUCUCUGAGAAAUUUGGGAGUCGCAUGUUACACAGUCUGCGACAUAUGGGGUUGCUGCAACAACCAAUACAUAUCUAACUUGGCAGAUCAAAUUGUCUGACGUUAAAAUGCAUGAAAUCAAAUUUGUUACACAAAGAAGAUAUCGGCAACAUGCACUGUGAUUCAAAUGUUCUUACAGAAUCAGGCAAAUUCUUGAUCAUGCUACGGGCCAUAUUACUACCUAACCACAUGCAUGCAAUUUUGUAUCUACAACAACAAUUAAUCAAGAAACCAAAAGAUUGAAAAGAUGAAACACAUACCAUUUUGCCACUAAUGAGAGAAAUCUGGAUUUGAGAAAUGUGAAAGGAAGAAGGAAAUAGGGGCAAGAGAAUCAAAGUGAAAAUAUGUUAGUAAAAAAGAGAAACGAGAUCCUUCUUUUCUGGAGCUAUGAGAGGUGCACAUUUGAAGAUGUCCGAAAUAGAUGGACGCAAGACAAAUAUUAAGGGAGGAAUUGCUAUUUAGUUUUUCUGGGCAAAUCAUGUCCACAAAUUCUAUUUUACCUAUUUUAAUCCAAACUCAUUUGGCCGAAGUGAUUUAUCCAUCAAGCACAUGAAUGCCCCUGUGAUAUAAGGUUAAUGGUAGCGAUGUUUUACAACUUUAGCAAAACGUGCAUGUAUAGAGAGGGGGAAAAAAGUUUCAUAAGGUUAACUGCGAUUCUUGAAGGCGUGAAUGUAGUUUAAUAUAUAUCUUAGGGAUAUUAAGCAAAGAAAAAAAAGUUAAUUUAUUAAAUCAGCCUUAAAAGGAAAAUAAAAAUUAAGAAAUUUUUUUAUGUUAUUAUUUUAUUUUUAUGAUUAAUUUGAUAAAUUUUUUUAUAAAAAAUUAUUAAUAAAAUUAUUAUAACGAUAUUAAACAUUACUUUAAGUUGGUUGAUAUUAAUUUAUCUAUAAAUAAUUAUUAGUAAGAUUGUUGUCAGGUACAAAAAAUACUAAUUCUAUCAUACUUAUAUCUAUUAGUAAUUUACUAAUAAAUAAUUAUUUUUUAAUUUACUAAUUACUUUUUUUACAUAAAUUAAUCAAUAUUAAGAAAAUUUUUGCACGAGUAUUAUUGUAAAAAAAAGUAAGGAUAAGAAUGUGACAUAAUUAACAGAAAAAAUAUUUUGAGAUAUCUUUUAAAAUACAAAAACUAAACAGAUAGUUAAAUAAAAAUAAUAUUAACUUGUGUUUAAUCAAACCACCUCAAUGUGUUUUACUCACAUGAAAAUUAUAUAUCGGUGAUACUUGCAUCAUCUUACAUAAAUUUUUUUAUUUAAAAAGACAACUAUCAUGACCAUUUAAUCAAACAAUAUACACACAAUUGCUAAACUCUCCCACAACUCGAAAAAAGUUGGAAGUUGGUCUUUAAGAAUCCUAUGAUGGGUUCUUUUAAAAUAAUUAUGAAAAGCAAAAACUGAAAGAAAAAUGUUUCACGUAUAUGAAAUAAGAGUAGGUGUUUUGAAAUCCGUUAAAAUUUCUCAUAAAAUCUAUUUUUAAUUGAAAUUAUCUAAGUAAUUAAAGAAUAAAUUAAUUUCUUAUUUUGAAUAGAAAUUUAAUUAAACACUUAAAUACAUCCUUCUUUUAAUAAAUUGUUACAUCCGUCUCAUUUCAUAAUUUAUAUUUUAAUUAAAAAUAUAUUUUUAAAAAAAAAUUGUAAGAGUUUUUUUUUUAAAAUUUUGUACCCUUCUGAUGUUGAAUAGUGGAUACAGUUUUUUGAGAUUUUGGAGUAACUAAUUGCAAAAGUCAGAGUUGUUCCCAUAAUUUUAUUUUUUUGAAAAAAAAAAACUGAGUUAGAGACCAUUUUGAUAUGGAUGAUCAAAUAUGUUGACCCAUCAAUGUGAUAUCCAAAUUUUUUAAGGUAAAAAUAAUAAUAAGCUUUGUGAAGUUUCAGGAGCUUAUUUUUUUGACUAGUGUCAACUGCUAUCCAUUCUGAUAGGUUAAAAUUAUCUUCUCAUAAAAAUAUUACUUUUGUUUAAUCAAACCAUCCGGUCCAUCCCAGUGCUUAGUCAUGGGAAUUUAUUUAUUUUUCGUUUUUGUUUUGUUCUUAAUGAUUAUUGCAUUUAUUUAAAAUGUUUGAUAGAACUUUACUAUAACUAAUUACAUGACAAGAAGUAAGCUUUCUUGCAUGAUCUUUGGGCAUCUUAUGAGGUGGAUUUUAGUGUGGCAAAUGUAGAUUUUAGUCAUUACAUUAAUUUGUUAAUUAUUACCUAUUUGAGAAAAUUAAAAAUUACGUCUUAUAUACUAUAAAUAUAUUUUAUAAAUACAAAAAUCAAAAUAAUUUUAGUAUUAUUUAAUCAAAAAUAUUUUGUGAUAACAAAUUAAUUAUUUAUGUUUUAGAAAUAAAAUUUUCAUUUAUAAUCUGAUCCAAUAAACAUCAAACACAAGACAAUACUAAUUAUAAUCUAAUCCGAUCAUAUCCGAAUGUAUCCAUUCGGCAUUCUGAGAACACCUUAAAAGAACUCUACAAUUAAAAAAAAAAAAAAAAAAGCAGCCCAAUCUGAUUAUUAGCUCAAUUAAAAGGAUGGCAGACACAGCUGCUCAAGCUCUCUUCAUGAGGUGGCCAGAGUACAUCUUUUCAUGAUAAAAUGCUAAACUUCAUUUUCACUACCAUUUAUAUAUAGGUGCCGGCAGUAAUGGCAAAUUUAGCCUAAAGUCGAGCUUUAAAAAGGUAUGAUAAUCAUUCAUUCUUGAGUUUCUUAUUUUUGCAAAUACAGAAAUGGAAACUAAGGAAACAAGAAGACAUAUUAUGUUUGCUGUCAAUUUACACAAGAAUCUGGCAUAUGCUGUCAAACAGAAAUUUGACUUCAUAAAACUGUAAAAAUCACUGUAAGGAAAAACAUUUUCCAUGUACGAGGCAUGCAACGGUCACUUUCUAAAUGAAUCCCACAGCACACCUAAAUCAACAUUACCUCCUGAAAGUACAAUUCCUAUCUUUUUACUAUCUUGCCAAGCAGGAUUCUUUCUGAAACCGUCUGAUAAAACAGCGGCGAGGCCUAUGGCUCCACUAGGUUCUACUGCCACCUUCAGAAUCUCAUAACAGAGUUUCAUGGCUUCUAUUAUCUCCUUAUCCUCCACAGUAAUUACGUCAUCAACAAGAUCUCGUACAAUUGGCCUGCACCAUAAGAGAGAAAGGCAUAUAAUAUAAAUUAAUUCCAUAAACUGGAAUUGAUUUACAGAUGAAGGCAGGCUGGCGAAAGAGAUGAAAUAAAGUCAUGAAUUUCUUCACUCUUGAGACAAACGUAAGUAUAAAAAGGACGAGCAGAAUCAAACUUUACAUUUCAGUGUGCAAGAGAAAAUUUGUAACCUUCAUGCAUCAAUUAAUUAUCAAGAUUGUCUUUACCACGUAAGAUCUCCAAGAAAAGCUCGGAGCCCAUCAGCAACAGUGUUUGUUUCGAGCAAUGUUAUAAUCCUGCCAGCUGCUUUAGAUUGAGCUGCAUCAUUAGCUCCAAUAGGUUCAGCAGCCAAAAUUCGAAUGGCAGGUUUGAUGGACUUUGCAGCCAGUGCCACCCCUGAUAUUAAACCACCUCCUGCAAUUGAAAUUUUUUCAAACUAUUAUCAUUUGGCUUCCAAAAAAACAAUCACCGAAACCAAAAGUGAUAUGGGACCCCAAAUAUGAAUUGAAACUAAAAUGUUGUCGAACAAACCACUUAUGGGAACUAUUAUUGUAUCAAGUAGAGGGACUUGCUCCAGAAACUCCAGUGAAAUGGUACCCUGCCCACUGAGAAAACAAUGCAACUCAUCAUAGCACAUUCAAAUCAAUGCAAAAGUUCCAGGUUUUCCCCACACAUGAAUUUUGUGCAGACCAUAUGCAUAACGCUUGUGAAUAUCCACUAAUACAGCAUGGAGCUAUAUCAUUUUAUGAAUAGAAUUCAAAUAAAAAUGCAAAUUACCAUAGCAGCAAUAUAGUACCUGAUUAUUCGCCCAUCAUUAUAUGGAUGUACAAGAACUGCUCCAGUUUCCUCCAGCACCUUGGAUGCGACACUCUCCCUUGAAUGCAUUGUGGCCUCACUCCAAAUAACCUGACCACCGUAACGCACGACAUUCUCAACUUUGCAUUUUGGAGCAUUCUUCGGUAUAACUAUAUAUGCUGGUAUCCCCCGUAACUUUGCAGCCAAAGACAAAGCUGCAGCAUGGUUACCACUAAUUUUGAAGUACAAUAUCAGGGGACACCUAAACACUCAAAUUAUCAUUAACCACGGAAAUGCUAGUAAGCUCAGGAAAAACCUGCUAUGUGUUACAACCCCUUUAAUUGCUUGAUCUUCAUCAAGCGAAAGAACUGCAUUAGAGGCACCUCUGAAUUUGAAGGCUCCACUAUCAGAGCAGAAAAGGAAAAGAACAUCCUUAAUUUUAAUAUCGGUGCAAGAGUAAUUAAUGAAAUACUGUAUCCACUAUUCAGUGAAAAAAAUUUGUUCUCACCCCUUCUGAAAACAUUCACAUUUGAAGAAUAGGCUUCUUCCAGACAUAGCAUUUAGAGUUUCCGAGGACAAAACUGGAGUUUUAUGAAUGUACAGCGAGAUGCGUUUUUGAGCUUCUUUUAUGGAUGAGAAAUUAGCAGCAUACUGCUCCCCGUUCGCCUCCAUCUCCAACUUCACUGUUAAAAACUACUUGGGAGUUUUAAUGCUUUUGUUAUAUGAAAAUGGGCAACAAGUAAAUUGUGACAAAAUCGGAUUUUUGUCAUGCUGUCGCAAAAGAAAUAUCAUCGAACAGCCAUGAAAUUGGACAAUUUAAUUGUCAUUUCUAGUAGCAAAGCGAAGUGUGCUACAAGCAUGCAAAAUAGCUAAAUUGAAGACCCGUCCGUUAUUUCAUCAUCGCUAUGCAAUUGAGAUUUUUUGGCAGAUAACAUUUGAAAAAAUAACAACGUAAAAGAAAUGCAUAGUAGAAAAGGAGCUUAAAAAGACAUAAAAUAACUCACAGCAGCUUAGAAGUUUGAAUCCCAAACACGACUUUGAUGAUUCUGCGCCCACCUUCACCUCUCCAUGUCUGUAAUAAUAUAUAUAACGAUGCCGUUUGGUUUGGAGGAAGGUAUUUUUCACUGUAAGUCCCUAUUGUUUCUAUAAAUUAUAAAAAAUACCAAACUUUUUGACAACAUCACAUAAACGAAUAGAUCCUUAAUUUGAUUAAGAUGGUUUACAGAUUACUACACCGGUGGGAAUUAUUUGGACAUUUCUUAAACUGGAACGUUUGCAUGUAAUUGUUGAUACGAACUGACGAAAAGCAGAUUGAAUUUCUGCGCUGAAUGCAAAAGAUUUCGGGAGGAGGACACAGAACAGAACAAGUGUUUGCAUUGCAAAGAAUCUGCCACUUCAACGCUUGCGGUUCAAAUUUUCAACGCUGUGAUAUUCUCAGCAAUUCUGGAAGUAAAAAUAAGAGAACUUCACCGCAUUGACAGUUUAUUUUAGCUAUAAUUGGCUGUUGGCAAUGGCAAACUGAGGUUCAAAACGAGCUACAAAAGAGAAUGAUGAAUGCUCAUUUUCUGAGCUCUGCGACAAUGCGGCGCUGGAUUUUCCCUGUAAGCGGCUUUCCGGACAGAGAGUCAGCGAUGAAGACCUUCUUAGGGACCUUGAAACUUGCAACGUUCCUUUUACAGAAUUCCUUCACCUAUUUUUGCUCCUUCCCUCAGAAUUACAGCGCAUUGGACGUAAAUGAAAUGUAGAAUAAAAACAAAUUGGCAAUUGGCACCGACCAAUCAUAAGUUUCAAUUGGGUUAUUCUUAAAAGAACUGUUAAUCUCACCUCUUCACCAUAUUUAAUUAUUUAUCAUCUGGAUGUGACAAAAGCACUGCAUCAACUUCAGUAGGCGAUAUCUUCUCCCCAGCGAAAGGGAAAUGAUAUUAAGCAUAGUCAAGACUCGAGAAAUCACUCUUAAUAAUUCUCGUCACUGCUGAAUUGAUGAUAAUAUCAAGUCUGCUUUUUGUAAAAUAUGAAUGUUCAAUAUGGAACCCCGCGGAUACUGAGGUGAUGUUUGGUUUGAAGAGAUAUGCGUUGUUAUAGAAUUAUAUCUUUAAAAAAAAAAAAAAAGAUAUUUAAUUUUUUAUUUAGACAAUUUUAGUCUUAAGUGAAUAAAUGUUAAACUUCCAAUAUUUAUCAUCAAUACAAUUCAAAAAAUUAAACAGUGAUUUUAUUUUAUAUAUUUCUAUAAAUAACUAAUAAAAAUUAUUUUAAAUAACAUAUUAUAUUUAUAAUUAAAUUUUAUUUAAAAUUUUUAUUAACGUAAUUUUAUUUUAUUAUUAAUUUAAGUAAUUAUAAUUAACAUAAUUUGUUUCUAGAUAGUUUCUAAUAUAAUAUAAAUAAUUUCUUAAUCACUAUAUUAUAAUUUUAAAUUUUCAUUUAAGGAACCAAAAAAGGCAAAAGAAGCCGCGACUACCACAACACCGUCUCAUACAAGCUGUUGAAUGAUAUGAAAAUUAUCAAAAAUUGAUACUCUCUAUAAUGGAUGAACUCAUUUAAUUGAAAAUUUUGAUAUCAUUUCAGAUUUGUAGAAGUUAAAAAGUUUCUAAAAAUUUUUUAAUAGGGUUUCAACAACACACAUUGAUUCUUUGACCUCAAUGAUAACAUAAUAAUUUUGUUCGUCAAACGACAAGCCCAAUGGGUACUAGCAGUGACACUUCACGUGCCUAUGGCGGCUAUUUGACAACUAUUAAUUUAUGUUUUUAUAUUUUCAUAGUAAAUAUAUUUAUUUAUUUAUUUUGAUAAAUUUUUUAAAAAUCAUUACUUAAAUUUAAUUAAUGAAAUAUUUUUAAAAAAAAUAUUAAAUUGAUAAAAUAAAAUUAUAAAUAAUAACUAUUUGAUGACAUUAAACAAGUUAAAAAGUUAAAGGGGAAAUUUUAAAAGCUUUGAUUUCCAAAAGAAGAAGAAUUUGAAUUCUUCAAUUCUUUGUAUAAAAUUCAAAUUCUAUAUUAGGAUGAAUAGUAAAUUCUAAUAAAAUUUAAAUUCUUAUAUAUUUUGUCCAACCAAACAAUUAAAAAAAAAGAAAAAAAUCCAAAUUACUUUCCUAUUCUCUAUCCUCACCUCCCAACCAAACACCAUCUAAACUCCUUAAUAUGCCACCCACAUAUUCAAACACCUUUGAGAAUCAAAGUAUCCCAGAUCUCCAGUAAGGAACCACCCAAAUUGAAAAGUAGUCUUAUUAGCCUCAGGAUUAUUAAUCCUUUGUACCAUUGGGCCCUCUCUAAUGCACAUCUUCCCAUUAACAUUCGCCUUUUGGUCUACACCAUUCUCGUCUGGAAUAGCCAUCUCCUGCCGGACCGGCUUCCCUACCGAACUAGCCUUAUGCGGGCCGUUUUUAGGCAACAGUACGAACACGGUACAUACAGAUAUGGCACUAGUCACCAAGCAGGUAAACUCUAAUUUAGGCCAGCUGUCUUGGUCUAAACCAAACUCUAAUCUCGGAGGCAGGUAAACUCGGGCCCCAUAGAAUAAGAAUACAUUGGUGUACGGCGUGAUGGUUAGUUGGGCUUGUUUCAUGGAUGGAUAAUGGGUUCAUUGUCAUUGAAUGAUGAAAGGCUGGCCCAAAAUCAAGACUGAUAUAAUAAUUUUACAUUAAUUUUUAUUUUUGAAUUACAUACAACGUACAUUAUUUAUGUAUUUGGAUAAUAGUCAUUACGAGAUCUUUUAGAUGAAAGUAAUUGAAGUUCAUAAAUAACCAAGUCAAAUUCAUAAUUUCGGUGAGCGCAUGCGGCAGAAAAUUAUUAUUACUCCUGUAAAAUAUGGCUUAAUAUGGGCCAUACUUGCCGACCAAGGCCUACUUGCUAAAAUUAUUAGCUUGGUUUUAAUGACAGGAUUAUUUAUUUAAUCAUACUAAAGGUUAAUGUCAACAUACAAUAUUUUGGAAUUGUUACAAGUGAGAAUAAGUCAAUUAUAAUUUACAAAGGAGCAAAAGGGAUGUUUUAUUUCGCGGGCCCAUUUCGUAAUUGAUGGAUUUUUCUAAAGGUAAAAAGCUAGGGACAAAGUCAUUUUCGCACUAUAUUGAUUAUCACAAAUAUUUUAAUGGUAAUGCCCGCUUGUUACGUGCAGGUUCAAACAAACGAUGCUUCUGGACUUGGCGGGAAUGUUGAAAAAAAUACUUGGGCCUUCGUUCUCAAUCUAAGUAGAUCUGAUGUAAGGCCCAAACCGUUUUAUUUUUAAUAAUUAGUAAAUUAUUAAUUAUUAAAAAUUCUCAUAAGUUAGAAAAUAGAACCAAAUUAUUGAUUAUGAAAUUAUCAACAUCAAACAGAUUCAGCAUGGGCAUGGCAUGUGACAUGUAUUUGGCUUGACGGUCGACGCUUACUUGCGUGCCAAUAUUAAUUUGCAACUCUGUCUUUUCAGGUUCAGCAAUAUUUAACUCCGGUUUAAUGCGAUCCUUUUAUGGGAAUUUUAAUUCGUCAUCGGUUAGUUUUGUUCAUUCCUGUUUUUAUUUAGCAUCAUAGUUUGAACUUUGAACUGUUUCGAAUCACAGACGAACAAGAAGAAGAAUAAUUAAAGGAAAGACUGUUUUUAACCAAUUUUGAUUGCAUGAUAUGUACUGAUUUUCCGCUGAAUAAAAUUACAAAAAAAAAUUGUAAUUAGUCAUAAUUGGAUAAAAUCAUUUCAAUUAAUUAUUUAAAUGAUAACCAGAUUUUUAUUUUUAUUUUUUUCUUUUUCAUAGGAAUCAUUUCAAUUAAUUGUAAUUAGUCAUAAUUCUUUUUCAAUUAUGGAUUCGUCACAGCAUAAAUGAAUAAUAAAUAAAUACGAUUCAAUUUGUUUAUCAAUUCUACUAAACGAAUUAAACGAAUCGAACCAUAUAUUCGUUUAAUAAACGAAUCGAAUCUGAAUCUUGAGAUUUCAAUUUGAUUAAUAAAUAAAUCGAAUCUGAGUCAGUAAAAUUUUAACUCAAUUUAUUUACGAUUCGAUUCGAAUUCAAAUUAAUUCAUUUUGCCGCCCUACUCGUCAUAUGGGCGUAGACAUGUGCGUCCUUUGAACGAACGUGUAUCCGGUCGAAAUAUUGAGACUUUGGAAGUCAGCAAACAAAGAACUUAUUUUGAAAGAACGAACUCGGACGCAAUUUUGUUUUUCUUCCUAUAAGUUUCCAUGAAAAUUAACACUGAAUUUGACUUUCUGUGAUGAUCUGACAUUGUGCCCGACAUAAGACAAGGAUGUGCUUUAUUAGUAAUUGUAGAUAAUAAGACAUAAAUAUACAAUAUACACAAUUUUUUUUUUUUUAAUUAAAUAGUUUAGCAAGGCGCGCUGCAACUCAAUUUUCCUCCACCGCGUAACUACAACUCAUAUCAGCAUAAUCCAUAUUCUUGGACAGAAACAAUCAACUAUUUGCAACUAUUGAAGCUCUGACUUACUGUGGAUUUGUUUUUCUUUUUUUUUGGGAAACUUUCUUUUCUGUGACAUCACUUCUAUAAUUUGUCUUGAUGGUUAUUACACAGUGACCAACAAACCCAGAUCCAGAUUCUUAAAGAUUCUAGAGUACCUAGGGUAUAUAUAACUCUAGUGCCGUCAUUAUAAUUAAAAUAUUCUGUAUAAAAACAACAGGUGGAGUGAUCAAACAUACAUCACAAGAAGGGACUCAGCUAAGUUGCAGAUUCUGUAACUAACAGCUGAGUCCACAUUGGCCUUGCAUCAGCUGAGUUUGGGUUGCUUUUCCUCACUCCUGCAACCCGUGGAAGCGUCCCAUUUGCUGUGUUACAUACAGAGUCGGUACCGUAGCAAGCUCCCACAAGAGGAAGUACUUGUGCUUACUAAUAAUAUAUACUAGGUUUUUGCCAAGUCAAUGAUUUUAAUACAAUAAUAUUUUAGUCCAUACGUUUGAUGAUGGCUCUGAUGAUCAAGCAAAGAUAAUAAUUCUUUAAGGAAAAAAAAACCCACAAGCAAGAGCAAAGUGACACUGUUUUGCAUUAAUUGUUUGAUUAUUUUAGGCGGUUUGAGUUUACUAUAAAUAUGGGGUUUCUUUUGUGCAUAAACUGCGUGUUACAAAAGAAAGGUUUGAUCUCUUUCGAGCCAAGAUUUGAUCUCUUUCAAGCCAAGGCUUUCUCUUUAUCUCUACCUAUCGGCGAUCGUAAGUUUCUUCUUCUUAUCUAAUUUUGUUAAUUAUUAUUUUAUUGUCUAACUUUUGCAAAAUUUCGUACUUGAUCUCUUGAGUUGCAUAUGUUGAGAACAUAUGUCAAUCUAUGUCUCAUUUUCAUCAUAUUCUCAAGAAACUGCUAUGAAAGAUAUGGUUAGCUAGCUUUUAGUCUUAAAUUCAAUUUCUACGGUAAUGCAUUCUUACGUCUACACAUAUCAAAAUUGCUUAUUGUUUACUCGUGUUUACAGUACUAGCAAGUAAGGGUGGACGAACUCAAUCCGACCUCAGUGCAAUCUAAUUCAAUCCAAUCCAAUUAAACUUAAAUGAGUUGAUUGAGUUAAUUUUUUUCAAUCCAAUUAAUGAUUGAGUUAGAUUAGAUUCGUGUUAAUGGACCCAUGUAACCCAAUCCAAUCCAAUAAUAAUAAAAAUCAUACAAAAAUAAUGUCAAUUGUUAAUUGUUUAUCCCUAAAUGGUUAAAAAUAAUUUUGAACUCUUUUUAUGCUUUUAUAAAAGAGACUCUUUUUUAAUUUCUCUCUAUUAAACCUUACAUUAAUUGAAUUUUCUAAAAACAAAAUUCAUAAAUCAAACUUGAAUUUUCACUAAAAAUAAGCUGAUAGGUAUUUAAACAUAACAACAUAUUGUCUAUUGAUAGAUGUUGGGUGUAACAGACAAUAUUUAAUGUUAUAAUGGAGAAUUAUUAUUUUUUUACUAUUUUAAUUUAAUUUUAAAUAUCAAAUAACUUUUUUUUUUAACUUCCACAUUUGAAUUUUUAAAUUUAAUCAACCUGAUCAACCCAACCCAAUACAAUGAUUUAUGUUAAAUUAAGUGCCCAAAUUUUUAGGUUUCAUAAUGCUUUUAUGGAGACUUGAAUCUUUGUUAUCAUACAUGGUGAAUACAAAGGUUCACCCACUAGGCCAAAGACUCGUCAUUGGUGAGGUGCAUCUAGCUUUAAAAGGAUAAAUUAAAUGGAGUGAGCUGCAUCUAAUUUUUCAAAGGAUAAAUUAAACCAUAAAAGGGUUGAAACUUUGUAACGCCAAUAAUAUCAAAAUUUAUGAAAAUUUUUCAAAUUAGAUCACUUAUCGUGGAUAUGGGAAUUGCAAUACUUAUCCUUUUCCAAAGGAUAUGGUUAUCUCAUAACAAGCACUUCAAAAUUAAAGCUUUCGCUUUCCUCAUCAUUUCAGACUGUAAAAUCUUUCUUUCUUACGUUUUAUUUGAUAUUACAAAAUUAGAAUAGAGAUUGAGCGCAAGAUAGUACUUAUAUGUGUGUGUAUAUUACCUAAUUCAAUCUUCAACUAUUUAAGGGGAGUUUGAACACCAAGCCUCUUCUUUUCAAAAAAGAUAUUUUUACCAUCUCUACAUAUAUAGAUGCUAUUAAUGCUACCGAAAAAAAAAAGAAAUUUAGAAAAAAAUCGACUGUCAAUUCUAUUUUAUUUUUAAAAAAAAUUAAUUUUUUUUAUAUGAUGAACUUAGUCGUAAUUAUAUAUUAAGAUCUGUGUUUUUUUUUAAUAUUUUAGUAACACUCUCACUUUAUCAAAGUAAAAAUGUCCUCAUUAAAAGACAACUAUAUAUAAGCAACUGUUAAAUUACAUAUAAUGUAACUUAUAGAAACACAAAAAAAGUUACUCAAAACAAAAAAUAAUAACAUGUAAAACAAAUAGUAGGUCGUGAGUAACUACUUUUAGGUUUGUUGCAAGUUACAUAUGAUGUAACUUAACAACACCUCUAUAUAUAUAUAUGUGUGUAUGUAUAUAUAUAAUUAUCCUCUAAUAAAGACAUUUUUGAUU